rnacentral:misc_RNA from 1 species
CCAAUAGCGUAUAUUAAAGUUGUUGCAGUUAAAAAGCUCGUAGUUGAAUUUCGGAAUCAAUAUAUCGGUCGUGCCUUGGUACGUACUGGUAUCAUUGGUUUCUCCUUUCUGACGAACCAUGAUGUCAUUAAUUUGGUGUUAUGGGAAGUUAGGACUGUUACUUUGAAAAAAUUAGAGUGUUUAAAGCAGGCUUUAGCUUGAAUACAUUAGCAUGGAAUAAUGAAAUAGGACGUUCGAACCUAUUUUGUUGGUUUCUAGGAUCAACGUAAUGAUUAAUAGGGAUAGUUGGGGGCAUUAGUAUUCAAUUGUCAGAGGUGAAAUUCUUGGAUUUAUUGAAGACUAACUACUGCGAAAGCAUUUGCCAAGGAUGUUUUCAUUAAUCAAGAACGAAAGUUAGGGGAUCGAAGACGAUCAGAUACCGUCGUAGUCUUAACCAUAAACUAUGCCGACUAGGGAUCGGAUGAUGUUAAUUUUUUAAUGACUCAUUCGGCGCCUUACG